AGCCAAACCACGGCGAGUUAGACGUCGUGUGAGGGGCAAUUAUCGAUGGCGUUUCCUUCUUCGCUAGAUGACGUGGCUUUCGACGGCGAAGUACUGUGAGUGGACCCCUUCUAAAAAUGCAUGUUUUAAUGGUAGAAUUGCAUACACAGAAAAACAUGACUUUACGAUUAUGUUUUAUGAAACGUUUUGAGAUAAUAUGCUUACUGAGGCUAGUUUGAAUUA